UCCGGGGUCGUCUAACGGCAGGACUGGGGACUUUGGAUCCCCGUAUCCAGGUUCGAAUCCUGGCCCCGGAGCCA
rnacentral:tRNA from 1 species